GGACUUCAUAAAACUGAAUUUUCUACCCUGUGAGAGACCCGUGAGGACAGAGCCAGGCACAGAAUGGGAGCAGAGCUGAGAACGUGUCGGGGCAGGCAUGGGGGAGGACGAGAACGUGUCUGGGCAGGCAUGGAUGGCUCUCUGCUGUGGCCUGGGAAAGCAGUAGAAGAUGGCCCCUGCAACCACAUGGGAAGACCCAGAGGAAGCUCCUGGCUCCUGGCUUCAGAUCGGCUCAGCUCCAGCCAUUGCAGCCAACUGGGGAGUGAACCUGCGGAUGGAAGACCUCUCUCUCUCUCUGUCUCUCUGCCUCUCCUUCUCUUUCUGUGUAACUCUGACUUUCAAAUAAAUAAGUAAAUCUUUUUAAAAAAAGAACAAAACAUUCAGCCCCAUGGUAAUUUAUUCAAAAGUUAUAAUCAUGAAAACCACUCUUAAAAUCUGUGAAUGAAUGCAGUUGGCCCCAGUAGAUUAUUUCAAUUGCCUGAAAUGGCCCAGAGGAAAGAUGAAGAGUGCUGAGGUAUUCCUAACAUAGCAUAUAAAAACACGUUUGAAAAUGGGAGAAAACCUGGGGUCUCAAAACCUUGAGAGCUAGCAGGAAUCAAAAAGCUGUAAUUCCUGGGUGGGUAUCUGGUACAGUGGUCACACCGGCUCUGGGGAUGGCCACAUCCCACACUGGAGUGCCCACUCCUGAUUCCAGCUUCAUGCUAAUGCAUACAUGAGAGUCAACAGCGAUGGCACAAGUACCUGGGUCCCUGCCACUCAUAUGGGAGACCCAGACUGGGUUCCCAGCUCCUGGUUUCAGCCUGGCCCAGACCUAGCUGUUGUGAGUAUUUGAGGGGUAAGCCAGCAGAUAAGGGAUUUCUUCCUCACCCCACAAAAAUAAAUAACAUGUUUUUAAAAAGAUAUAAUUCAAGGUACUUUUUUAAUGGUUAUACCAUCAAAAAAAAAAAAAGACCUAAAAAGUAAAAA